rnacentral:rRNA from 1 species
GCAAGUCGAACGAACCUUUAUUGUUAGUGGCGCACGGGUGCGUAACACGUGGGAAUAUACCCUUGGGUUCGGAAUAACGGUUGGAAACGGCCGCUAAUACCGCAUACUGACUCCGGUCCAAAGAUUUAUCGCCCAAGGAUUAGCCCGCGCCUGAUUAGGUAGUUGGUGAGGUAAGAGCUCACCAAGCCUACGAUCAGUAGCUGGUCUGAGAGGAUGAUC